UUCACCUUUCAUGUGGAGUCUGAGGAUCAGCCUCAGGAUGUUAGCGGUGGCAAGAGCCUUUAGGACGGAGCCAUCUCACCAAGGGUCAUAUAUGAUUUGGGAGGGUCACAGAGGACUGCCCCCACCUACAAUCAGUUUAGGAACAAAACAUUCAGGUUUUCUACAGCAAAUCUCAAGCUGAAAGCUUGGGUAAGUCACAAAACUUAUGUUCUAAAGUUUUUUUAGAGUGGACUCUGGUUUCUGAGUGGACGGAGUAAUGUAUGAAUGCCAUGGUGACAAUAUCAAAUAUAUUAGUGUUAGUAUUAGGGAGAUGAGCCAAUAUUUCAAGAAAAGUAUAGCCAUAUUAGCUUUCUUUGAUGAUGUAAAAUCAGUUUUGAGUUAUAAGGAGAGAGAAGAGAGAGAGAGAGAGAGAGAGAGAGAGAGAGAGAGAGAGAGAGAGAGAGCGCACUGGCUUUGACAUAAAGCCUAUGUUGACUAUCUCUGUGAGUAGGUCCAGCACCACAAGUGAGGGAAUUUGGCUGAGGCACCCUCAGGAGAGUGGAGGCUUACACCCUCUGCCAGCUCGGAAGGCAGGGUGAUUAUGAGCCAGGAACCCUGCUCAAUUCCCCUGAAAGAGUAGUAAAUGUUUUUAUGAUGAGAGCCAUCUCUCCAGCCCCGGCCUCAUCAUAUCUUUUAAGGGACCAUAAAAGAAUGGAGUAUUAAUGUAACUACAUUUGCAUGAUUUGGGGCACAUUUGGCUGACAUAUAUACUAAUGGCAACCAAAGCAAUCCUCUAUGGUAGACACUCUCUGAGGACCUCACAUGCUAACUCAGCUGUUUCAACAGUCCCACAAGGCAACCGCAGAGUUGUCUUCAUUCCAGGUUUCAGAUGAGGAAACUGAGGCAUAGACUAAUGUGUUCAGGGUAAAAGGUUAAAAGGUUAAAUGGUCACGUUACACAUAACUAGUAUAAGGCUGGGGAGGGGGUUGAGGCAAACAAUGUGUUUCUAGAAUCCAAGCUCCUACAUAUCUGUUGACCCUGAAGACACACACACACACACACACACACACACACACACACACACACACACACACACUCAUUGAAGAAAUCCACACAGGAAGUCAUUCAUCUUCAGGUACAGCAUAGAUUACUAUUCUUAACAAUUCUUGAUAACGAUUUGUAAAUGGAUUUUGAAUAGUUAAUGAUAUUAAAAUCGUUCUACAUUCUCUAACCCUCAGGUUUUUUUUAGAAAGACUUUUUUUUUUAAAUGUGUGUGGGUGCAGUACCAAGAGGACACCAGAAGAGGGCAUCAUAUCCUCUGGAUUUCCAGGCACUGGAGAGCCUCCUAGUGUGUGCUGGGAACUGAACUCUUGCUCUGCAAGAACGGUGAACACUGAACUUCUGAGCCGUCUUUCCACCCCCUUGAUUUUCUUCUAUCUGAAAGAUCCCACAGAUUCACAUGAUAUGUGCUGAUCGUUGGUCCCAUGUGGAGUCUCCGGUAGGAGGCAGCCCCUGUCAGAGAGAAGAGAGACUCUGUGGGUAGGUUUGUGGUCUCCUGUGUUUCGUAUACCAUUGUACCCAAGUAUGUGUCUGCAUUGUUCUGCAGGAGAAUGACAAGAACUGGGGUGUCCGCCAUGACCUUCGAGGCUGUACCCUGGGAACAUCUGAUGCUGACUAGACAAAGCCCUCAUGGAAGGCAGAGGAUAGUCUGUGCUCAGUCCCUUCUAGGACAAUCUCAUUGUGAGCACAUCUUAAAAUGUGAGACGGACAGCUGGUACCUGAUGUAGUCAGAGACAUUGCUGGUCAGUUACAGGGACGUCACUCAAACUGCUUUAGACCUAGGGAGAGAAAUACUGUUUAAAUAGCUCCAGGAAUGAUGGUCCCCUGUCCCUCAGACCGUGACUCCAGGGUAGAGCGUCUCGUCUCAGUGUCAGCUGCCUCUCAGGCAGGCCCACCUGACCCAGCAGUCACUUACAAGACCAGGGGCUUUGCUUUUAGUUGGGAUGUCAUAGAGAAGAGAUCAUCCCUCUCAGCUGUGCCUGUGAGAACCCUGAGACAGGGUCUCAGGACUCUGAUCGACGUUGCCCACUUGGUGUUUUUGAGCCUGUCACGGUGGACAGUAGGAUGAAAUACUCUGAUGGCCAGGCCUGCAGCCUGAAAGGAGCCUGGACUGGGGGUUGGAGGAAGUAGAAAAAUAAGUUUGGAAGAAAGAACAAUGCAUUUUAAAAGAAAAGGUUUCCCAGGCUCAGUGAUUUUAAAGCCUUAGUUUAUAUAACAUCAAGGCCUCAGAAGAAGAAGAAGCCAGGCCUCUGGCAUUCUUGGGUCUGAGAGUCUUCCAGGUUCAUUGGGGAUCUAAUUAUUAGCGUAUCUGCCCUAUCAAUGAUAAAGCAAUCAAAUGAAUUUCUUUUUGUCUCUAACCCAAUAGAUGGUGAACACAGGAGCAGCCCCCAGGAGCCUCACAGUGGUUACUUCUGCGUGUUUGCUUCAGAUGCUAAUCUAGGUCUUCUCCCAAAGGCAUUUAGCCCCAGUUAAUAUUUACAGUCAGCUGAAUUGAACUAAGACAAAAAUGCCUUUGCGUGCGGGUGGGCCUCAUCCAAUCAGCUCAAGAAUCUUAAGGACAAAACCCAAGAUUUCCCUCAGAAAGGACGAGGCUCACCUGUGGGUUUGUAAGCUCGAAGUCCUGGCUCACUUUCUGGCCUGCUUCUCUAUCAUGCAGGUUUCAGACUUGCCUGGGCAGACCCAUAUAGCUCAGGACCCAGGCCCGCCCCUUCUGUUUCAGGUACAAAUGUAAACAUAGAUACGCUCAUGUCUCCUGCUCCUGUCUGUCCGUGGAACCCUGGGUGAUGCUUCCGUGCCAAAGUGACCUGUAGUUAAAAACUCACCACGGGGGCUGGGGAUUUAGCUCAGCGGAAGAGCGCUUGCCUAGCGAGCGCAACGCCCUGGGUUCGGUCCCCAGCUCCGGGGGGGGGGGGGGGACUCACCACGAUCAUGGUCCUAGCAAGGCUUUCCAGAAAGUUCCAGCUGAGGUACCUUCGGCGUGCAGAUCAUUUUGUACCUGUGGAGUAAUUGCCUAUAUGCAGUGGUACCCCCUUUAUAUGAGCUCCUGAAAAACACACUGGCAAUGUCACACUGGAAAUGACACUUGACCUGAGACACAGCGCCCCUCUGCCCAGGAACUCAAACACCUCACAGGUACAACAUCAUCAGGUUGAGUGCCACCAGCCCCACUUAAAGACUGGCUGGGACUGGUUUCGCAUGGGCCUGGCUUGGUGCUAUGGUAAGCCGCUAGUCACAGACUAGGAGGAGAAAAGGAGUUGUGCCGUGUCUGGAAAUACAAAUGGAAAGUUUUAGGAACGGAACGAAUGUUUUCCCGAGUGAAUUAGAAAAGGAGGAGAAACUAAAUACAUACUUUUAAGUUUUCAUUUGUUUAUUUUAGAAAAGUAGACUUUCAAAUGUUUCUUAUGGUUUUUCAAGAACUAGUUAAAAGAAAUAAAGUCGCUGGUUCGUGAGUUCUGCGUACGUCUGGGAUCACAUGCAUGCAGUACCCGAGGACGCCAGCAGAGGGCGUCAGAUCUGGAAGAGCAGUGAGCGCUCUUAACCCCUGAGCCAGCUCAACAAUUACGCUCUCUCUCUCCCUCCCCUCCCCCUCCCCCUUCCCCUCCCUUCCUUCCUAAUUGCCAGAUGAUUUGUUUUCUAACGUAAUGUUUUUUAUUGUUGAUUUGUGAAUUUCACAUCAUGUACCCCAUUCGCACUCACUUCCCAGUCCUCCAAGGUUCGCCCCCCCUCACUCUUGUAAUGCCCCAACCCCAGAAAAAAAAAUAAAAAGAAAGAAAAAGUCCAA